GCAAGUCGAACGGUAACAGACGGAAGCUUGCUUUCGUGCUGACGAGCGGCGGACGGGUGAGUAAUGCUUGGGAAUAUGCCUUUUGGUGGGGGACAACAGUUGGAAACGACUGCUAAUACCGCAUGAUGUCUACGGACCAAAGUGGGGGACCUUCGGGCCUCACGCCAAAAGAUUAGCCCAAGUGGGAUUAGCUAGUUGGUAAGGUAAUGGCUUACCAAGGCAACGAUCCCUAGCUGGUUUGAGAGGAUGAUC
rnacentral:rRNA from 1 species